UGUCUAGGAAGGCCCUAGCUUAAUUAGAGUGCUUGAGUUGCAUCCAGGUGGUGCAGGAUAAUGUCCUG
rnacentral:tRNA from 1 species